rnacentral:rRNA from 1 species
UAGCGAAGGGGGCUAGCGUUGCUCGGAUUGAGCUAGGGGCGUAAAGGGCGCGUAGGCGGUUCGUACAGUCAGACGUGAAAUUCCUGGGCUCAACCUGGGGGCUGCGUUUGAUACGUGCGGACUUGAGUGCGGAAGAGGGUCGUGGAAUUCCCAGUGUAGAGGUGAAAUUCGUAGAUAUUGGGAAGAACACCGGUGGCGAAGGCGGCGACCUGGUCCGAUACUGACGCUGAGGCGCGAAAGCGUGGGGAGCAAACAGG